rnacentral:lncRNA from 1 species
UUGGAUCAACUUUUUGUCCACUGGACAUAGCAUAUUUAGAGCUUUCUAACAUAUACUAGUUGAAAGCCUGUGGGCUGUGCCACGAGCUUUUUAAUUUUCUUUUGCCCAACUGCACGCACAUGAUACAAGGCAUAUAAAAAAUAAUAGUUCUAAAUUUUUCUCUGGUUACCUGUCUUGUUGCCAUGGGUCUUUUAAUUCGUUUUUCUGAUUGCACGUAUGAAUAUAAUACGUAACUGUUUCGCACUCGCCCUACUCUGUCUAACACCCUCCAUCUCUCUCCAUACCCAUCUCUCUCCCACGCCCUCUCUCAC